UUAGUGCACGCGUUACUGUGAGCCCUUCCAGCCUGCGUAAAAACCAGAAUCAGAGAGAAAAAGUGCCUUAACAGACAAUGCUGCAGGAGGGAACGGACAAUCAACAUGUGUCUGCAGCACGACAGGCUUGUUUCUGAGUGUCCAGGGUCAGCCUCCCAAGGGACCACUCCAAAGGACUGCAGUGACCUGCCAACACCUCUCCCCUGACAUGUUGCAGCCAGAGGUCAAAGACAAUAUCUGAGGCGGCGUCAGUUCAAUGUGUAACCUUCUCACAUAUAAUCAGGAUUAGGGCAAUUGACCCAUUCAUAUUUUUGCUAAUGUUCUGAAGACAUUUUAUUUUUCAAGGAAAUGUGAUGCAUUGCUUUGAAGAAACCAGAACUAUUUAAGUUAUAUUAAUGAAGCAGUUUGUUUCUUGUGAGGCAAGACCAAAGAUAUGAACAGAGGAAAGCAAAUGUUCUAAAUUUGUUCCCUUACCAACAUCAACAAGGUAAAAUCUUGUAUAUAAACAAAACUGAUACACUGAUAUAUGAAUCUAAAUAAUAAUAAAAAAAAUAAAUCAGUAGGUGGACAAAUAAAUUUAGCUGGCCUAUAGAACUAAGAUUAAUUUUAUAUAUGUUCUACUUCACAGUUUCCAAAGACACCUAACUACGGGAAUAAAUCAGAAACAUCAGCCGGCUUUAAAGCUAUGUGAACCAGAGGUUUAACUACUAUAUGAAUGCCAUUUGCAUUAUUUUCCUAAUAAAAUAUAACAGUGAAAAUUAGCUCCACCAAGCUUGAAGCACGUAGAGGAGAAAAGUGGGGGCAAAAAAACAAUUGCCAUUUCCACAUUUUUCUUAAAGCGUAUGGGUAGAACAAUAUGAUUUUUUAAAAUAAUACUUAUUAUUGAUAUUAUAUUGGCAUUGGAGAAACCUAAAAAGGAACCCCCCCAAAAGGCAACACUAUGUGCACACUGCAGCACCUUUGUUCUAGUUCAAGUCCCGCAUUCACUAAAGUGCGAUAUAUCCUCCUAAUGAACGGUCAUCCAGAGUGCUGCAUAAACGACAACAACAUCACACGGUGUUCCAUAUCAAAGAUCCCAUCUACUCUCAUCCUUCCACUGGCUCAAUCUGAGGCCUUUUCUCUGGACACAUUAUUACUGUCAUCAUUUUAACAUGAAAGGGAGGAAACAAGUGCUGCACCACUACCAAGGAGACACCUUGAUCCCAGAGCAUUUGCAUUCGCCACCUUGUUCCGCCUGAUGUAUGAACGAGUUAGCGCUGGGCUCUGUGAUUGGCCGGCGCUGAAAAGCAGAAGCAGGCACUCUGCUAAUGCUGCAUAUGUUGCUCCCCCUUCCCCCCUUCUUCCACACUGUGUCACACUCAGGCGGUGGCACUAGAGGGCAGUCCACCCUGUUGCUUUUUGUUGUGGAGGAGGCAGACACUGUUGGGGCUCACACUGAGGGAAUGAUCUUUUAAAAUAUUUUGUAAUUUUUGUCAAUUCCAUGGAAAAUUAGUUAGGAAUUUUUGGAAAUCAGUGGUUUGACAACUACUUCUGGACUGGACGGUUUAUACUCAGUUGAGUACUGAAAAGGAAAACUCAUCAGUUGGUUUUCGUCAAUUGGAAAAGUUAGUUUAUGCAAUGUAUAUUCACAUUGAAUAAACUAACAGAGGUAGGCAAAGAGGAUGCUUUCCAAAAGCUUUUAAAGAAAGCCUUUUAUUUUAAAGAGGUAGGAUAAUGCUCUCACACACACAGCUGGACUGUUGCUCUCUGUCUGUGGUGCAGUCAUUCAGGAGGCUGCUGCUAAUUGAAGACACACAACAAUGAAGCGCGGAAACCCCAAAGCAACAGCGUUAAUCAGAGAAAAAAUAAUAAUGUAAGAGCAGUAGUGAUUACAGUGAGGACAGCCAGCCAUUUCAGCAGACCUCAAAUUUGAUCUAAGUGGUGAUUUUAAUAUAGUUUAUAAGGACUUCUUGUGCACUUCUUUCCCUGUCUGCCAGAAGCUAGCUCAGUCCGAGACAAAUCCAGAAAACUUUAUUACUGGAUGAGUGUAAAUAGGUUCUGACAUUAGUUGGGAAAGAAGCGUUUGCUUCAACACAUUUGUUGAUAUUAAAUCACCAUCAAACACUCUAUUAUUUCAGAUCAUUGUAAAAAUAUUCUCCUGUUGACUUUGUGUCAUAACUUUUGUUGCUCCCAACCAUUCAAACACAAAACAAAGACAAUUUAAUUACUGUUUUAUAUACAACACUGAAACACUUUUUAAAAACAUAUAGCCACGACAUUUAUUUAUAAGUUUGUUUAUAAAGCACUUGUCAUUUUAUAUCAACACUACUCUAAUACUUUCUGCAUGUUGCCUUCAGUUGGCAUUUCUACUUUCAUUAACAUCUCCAGUGCCUCUAUUUGUUUAAAAAUACUUGAACUUCUAUUAAAAUUUUUUAAAUACAUUUAUCAGUUGACUAUAAUUAUUUUUGAUUUCUUUUAGCAACCUGUGACAGUUCUGUCCUAUUUCUCUGCUUGUUUUUUUUCCCAGAAAUUUGUGAAUGUGACAAAUAAAAACCUUGAACCUUUUAUGUUUUACCACUAAAUGAAAUGUCCACUGUGGAUUUUUCACUUGUGUUUGUCAUUCAUUAUUUAACAUGAAUCUGUUCUAAAUGUGGUUUCUUUGUUACUUGGAGAAAAUGUGAAUGAUUUGCAAAUGGUUUGACCUUUUAAUCAAAACUUCGUCAUGAUAAAUAUUUUUCUAUGCCCAUUAAAAAAGUGGCGUUGUGGAAUUUUGAUGCGACUUACAAUUUACAUUUGUUCUGAAAAGCAAGUUUAAAAUAACUUAAUUUAAAAAAACCUACUUCACAUCUGUAAACACUUCAGUGUUGUGCACCACCUUUGGAUCUGCUGUGAUGGUUUAGAAAAGAAUAUGAUUGGAUGUUUUAUAUAUAGGAUAUGUGCUAUGAUCUCAUUCAUCCUGUAAUCGGCGUGCUAUUAUGAAAGAAAAAAAGCUUUUUCUAAAAAUCUUUUCACUCACAUUUAAUUGAAGGUAUCAAUGAAGAGAAAAAAACACCUAAAACUAGGUUACAGGAGGUCAAGCAAUGUAAAGUGGUCUCUUUUCGGCCAUUCAUGGGAGAAGGUCAGGUCAAUCAUGUAAGUAUGGCAGCCGCUUCUCACAAUCAACAUCGGGAUGGGUUAGCCCUUCUGUGCUAGACAGAAAGCCUGCUUUUGUAGCGUCAACCCCUUCAGAAGCUUCUCGGUUCUUCGGCUGUGUUGUGGCGACGGAGGGGUGGGGGUCUCUGCUCUACGAAGAGGGGCCCUCUGUGAAAAGGCCCCACUCAAGAGGAAUAAAGGAGCCUCUCUAGUGGUUUGUUUUGGAGGCUGUCUUAUUGAUCUGUCUACCUAUGAAUGAAUGCAUUGGCCCAGUUUUCCCGCUCACAGCUACAAUGGCACUCGGCCUGUAUUAACUGCCCCGAUGUUAUUCCCAGAGAAUGGCGCACAUUGAGAGGAGUUUUGGGAACGUUUGUCGUUUCAUCCCCGAAUCCACAAACCUUUCCCCGGAGAAUGGAGACGGUUAACAAGGAGAAGUAAAUCAAUGACUGCUGACUGCCAAAAUCAAUAUUAUAGAUUGAACAAGAAUGUGGAACAGUUCAUACAUACAAAGACGCUGAACCACAACAGCCACUUCAUUUUCCUAACUGAACAUUAUUUUGUUUAGGACCUUGGAGUUCUGUACUAAAAACUGGACUUUUAAGUGCCAUUAUAUUUAUUAUUCUCAACUAGGAGUAAAAAUCUUUUCAGAAUUUAGUUUUUUCCUUGCCCCCCCUACUUUCCUUGUUGCUUGUAAGUUGCUUGUGAGCAAGAUGUGCCUUAAAAUAAAUUGUUGUUCGAAACAAUAAUCCAAAGAAAAUGAAUAUUGGAGAUUUUUCCUGUUUUUACCAUCCUAUGUUUAUGGCAUAAUAAACUCAAGUUUCUGUUCA